rnacentral:rRNA from 1 species
UACAGAGACUGCAAGCGUUAUUCGGAUUCACUGGGCGUAAAGGGUGCGCAGGCGGUUGGGUGUGUCAGAUGUGAAAUCCCGAGGCUUAACCUCGGAACUGCGUCUGAAACUACUCGACUAGAGUACUGGAGAGGGAACGGAAUUCGACGGUGUAGCAGUGAAAUGCGUAGAUAUCGUGAGGAACACCAGAGGCGAAGGCGGUUUCCUGGACAGUUACUGACGCUCAGGCACGAAAGCAUGGGGAGCAAAAGGG